UACGUAGGGGGCAAGCGUUGUCCGGAAUCAUUGGGCGUAAAGAGCGCGUAGGCGGCCCUGUAAGUCCGCUGUGAAAGUCAAGGGCUCAACCCUUGAAUGCCGGUGGAUACUGCAGGGCUAGAGUCCGGAAGAGGCGAGUGGAAUUCCUGGUGUAGCGGUGGAAUGCGCAGAUAUCAGGAGGAACACCAAUAGCGAAGGCAGCUCGCUGGGACGGUACUGACACUAAGGCGCGAAAGCGUGGGGAGCGAACAGG
rnacentral:rRNA from 1 species